rnacentral:lncRNA from 1 species
GCGUACUGCGUUGCAGUGUAGGGGAAUUUCUGUUUAUGUUGCUUUCCUAGAGACAGAGUCAUUCAUCAGGAUAAAUUACGGUCAAUUAGCAAACAAACUCUCGUCGUCGGUGGCGACUGCAAAGUUGUUGUAAUCAAUGGCAAUCGAGAAUGUUAGAUAUUUUUCAUCAUUUUGCAUGUGUUUAAUUUUUUUUUUUUUGCGAAUGAUUUGUCGCCUGGAUUAGUGUUUCCCGCUGUGCAACGUGAGUCAGGUUGCGGGGGGCUCGGGGGCAACGCCCCCGAAAGAGAAUUUUAUUUUCAAAAGUUUUUGAAUAGGUGCAUUUGUUCAUUUUUAAAAGUCACUUCCAAUAGAUGUACGCAAGAAUUUCAAGGGAUACACCUAUUCAAACAGUUGCCUCAGUUUCUAUAAAUUCUGGGCGAAUUCUCAUUUGCAAAUACAUUAAAAAUAUUAUUAUUCUUUCUUUCUCUUGACAUCAAUCAGUUCUUUUCAAGUGUCUCUUGGUUUGAUCAAAUAGUCACAAUUUGAAUCAAACGUCUCCAUUGUAUCAUGAGAGAGAUUUUCUAUCAUACCCCAAUUGUGACUUUGUUGGAUAUGGGAGAAAUAUCUCUUAAAAGAUAACGUUUUUUCGUGCCUUGGAGUUCAUUAACUUUUCAGAUUUCCCUACAUUUUUCUCAACAGUUUUAAGAGAUGUCUUCGUUUCAAGAUCUGACAGUAAAUGAAUCUGUGGCACCCUCAAUUCAAGUCAUGAAUCAAGAUUUGAUUCGUCUUGAUCGGUUUGAUGGACAUAACUACACGCGUUGGCAGGAGAAGGUUUUAUUCUUCUUGACAGCAAUCAAACUGUCCUACAUUCUGAGUGAUGGUCUCACGCCUAUUCCAGAAGAAAAAGCAGAUGAUUUAGAUGAAGGCAAGAAGGAAUUACAGGAACAGCGGAAGAAAAGGAAGUACGAUGAUUUUCUGUGCAGAGGCCAUAUUCUGAAUGCACUAUCAGAUUCUGUUUACAGCGCACACAGGACUAUCGGAACAACAAAAGAAUUGUGGCUGGCAUUAGACAACAAGUAUCGUAUUGAAGAAGCAAGCAACCAGAAAUUCUUGAUCGGUAAUUACUUUGAUUUCAAGAUGACGGACAAUACGUCUGUUAUUGCCCAGGUACAUGAAUUACAACUUAUUGUUAGUAAUCUUAAGAAUGCUGAAAUUGUUUUGCCUGAUGCAUUUCAAGUUGGAGCCAUUAUUGUAAAAUUACCAAGUUCAUGGAAUGGCUAUAAAAAGAAACUCAAACAUGAUGAAACCAAGCAUACCCUGGAAUCCCUCAUGCGUAAUUUACGUAUUGAGGAAGACUCUCGUAAACGAGAGAAUAAUGAUCAAGCGGUAGAAAAGGCAAACAUGGUUCGAGGAAAUCAUAAGGAUAACAAGAAGCGUAAAAAUUCCAGUUCUAAGAAAGAUUAUGCAGAAACCUCUAAGAAAAAAUUCAAGGGGGAUUGUUUCUACUGCAAGAAAUCUGGUCAUAUUGUUCGUGAAUGCCAACAUCGAAUAAAAGACGAGAAGUCAAAGAACGAAAAAAUAAAGAAGGAUCAAGUAAAUGUGACUGAUGGAAAUCAUGAUCCAAACUUUGUUGCUGUGGUGGAAGAAGCCAACUCAGUUGGAUUUGAAGUAGGAUGGUGGCUGGAUACCGGAGCUACAAUUCAUGUAAGUAAUGACAAAUCUCAGUUCAAGACUUACAAAGAAUGCACCGAUGGAAGAGAAGUAAAAAUGGGUAACAAUGUUCGUACCAAAGUUGUUGGAAUUGGAUUAGUUGAACUGAAAUUCACUUCGGGAAAGAAUCUGACUUUGGCAGAAGUUCUCCAUGUGCCUGAAAUGACCAAGAACUUGAUUUCUGGGGAUCGCCUUAACAAGACAGGUUUUAAGCUUGUAAUUGAGUCUGAUAGCCUUAUAGUAUCUAAAAAUAAUGUAUUUGUCGGAAAAGGUUACUCAUGUAAUGGUAUGUUCAAAAUGAAUCUAAUAAAUGAUAACUUUGCUUAUACUGUUGAUUCUUUACCUUUAUGGCAUGCUAGAUUAGGCCGCAUAAAUUAUAAAUCCAUUAAGAACAUGCGUAAUUUAGGAAUUAUUCCUAAAUGUAAGUUUGAUGAUGUUAACAAAUGUGAUAUAUGUGUUCAAGGUAAAAUAACGUGUAAACCACAUAAAUCUGUUAUGCGAACAUCUGAAUUACUUGGUCUUAUACAUUCUGAUGUGGCUGAUCUGCAUAGUAAAGUUUCACGUGGAGGGAACAAGUACUUUGUGAUCUUUAUAGAUGAUUUUUUGAAAUAUGCUUAUGUAUACUUACUAAAAAGUAAAGAUGAAGUUUUAAGCAAAUUUCUUAUUUAUAAAGCAGUAGUGGAAAAUCAAUUAAACCGAAAAAUUAAAGUCCUACGUUCUAAUAGAGGAGGUGAAUACCAAGUAGCAGAAUUAGCAAAAUUCUAUGAAACUAAUGGCAUAGUUCACGAGUUUACUCCACCGUAUUCGCCAGAAUCAAACGGAGUAGCAGAAAUGAAAAAUCGGACUUUAGUUGAAAUGGUGAAUUACAUGCUUAUUAGUUCUGGUUUACCUAAUCAAUGGUGGGGUGAAGCAAUUUUAAGUGCAUGUUAUACUCUAAAUAGGAUUCCUAUGAAGAAGAUUAACAAAACUCCAUAUGAAUUGUGUUCAAUCGGAAACCUAAUAUUAGCCGUCUCAAGGCGUGGAGAUGUCUCGCAUAUGUGAGAAAACCAAAUCCAGAGAUUACUUAAUUAGGAAAUAAAACUUAUAAAUGUGUAUUCAUAGGUUAUGCAAAAAAUAGUACUGCUUAUAGGUUUCUGAAGUUAGAAUCCAAUGAUGUUAUAGAAUCAAUUGAUGCUGAAUUUUUUGAAAAUAUAUACAAGUCUUCAACUAUGCAAACUAAAGAUAAUACUACUUCUAGUUCUUCAAAGAGAGUUCAUGAAGAAUCUCUUGAUGAUACUUCUGUUGAACCACAAUCGGAAAUAGAACCUAGAAGGAGUAAGAGACAAAGGAAAGAAAAAUCUUUUGGAUCUGAAUUUGUGACUUAUUUGCUAGAAGGUGAUGUAAACAAUAUUAUACAUCAGACUAAGCUAAUGCUCAAUGAUGAUAGUGAUCCUGUCACAUAUUCAGAAGCUAUUUCCUCUCGAGAUGCUGUGCUUUGGAAAGAAGCAAUCAAUGAUGAAAUGAGAUCUAUUAUAUCAAAUCAAACAUGGAAAUUGGUUGACUUACCUCGUGGUUCUAAACCAAUAGGUUGUAAAUGGAUUUUCAAGAGGAAAUUAAAUACAGAUGGCUCUAUAAAUAAGUAUAAAGCUCGAUUAGUAUCUAAAGGUUUUAAACAAUGCCAUGGCAUAGAUUAUUUUGAUACUUAUGCUCCCAUAGCAAGGAUAUCUUCCAUCUGCGUGUUGCUAUCUCUUGCUUCAACUCACAAUUUAGUUGUCUAUCAAAUGGAUGUAAAAAUAGCUUUUCUAAAUGGUGAUUUGGAGGAAGAAGUAUAUAUGGAGCAACCCGAGGAUUUUGUUUUACCUGGACAAGAAAAGAAGGUUUGUAAACUAGUCAAGUCUCUUUAUGGUUUAAAACAAGCACCUAUACAAUGGCAUGAAAAGUUUAAUAAAGUAACGUUGUCUAACAGUUUCAAGGUUAAUGAAGCAGAUAAAUGUAUCUAUUCUACAUGUAGAAAUGGUACAUGUACUCUUAUUUGCUUGUAUGUAGAUGACAUGCUUAUUUUUGGUCUUAACUUAGAAAGUGUUAAGGAGACCAAACAAUUGCUAGAGUCUAACUUCGACAUGAAGGACUUAGGCGAAGCAAAUGUGAUCUUAGGGAUUAAAAUAAUAAGAAAAGAUGGAUGCAUAUUGCUGAAUCAAUCUCAUUAUAUUGAAAAUAUCCUUAAAAGAUAUGGUCAUAUGGGUCAUAAACCCGCAUCAAUUCUGAUAGAUCCUAGUAUUAAGUUAAUGAAAAAUACUGGUAGAUCUUAUGACCAACUACAAUAUGCAAGUGUGAUUGGAAGUCUUAUGUAUGAUAUGCACUGCACAAGACCAGACAUUGCAUAUGCGGUUGGCAUAUUGUGUCGAUUCACUAGUAAUCCAGGAAAAGAACAUUGGAAUGCGGUUUCAAGAAUCCUAAGAUACUUGAAAGGAACUAUUGAUUAUGGAUUACAUUAUAGUGGAUUUCCCGCUGUACUUGAAGGAUACAGCGAUGCAAGUUGGAGCAACAUAGAAUCGAAUUCUAAAUCCACAACGGGUUGGAUUUUUACUUUAGGAGGUGCAACUGUUUCUUGGUGUUCUAAGAAACAAACAUGCAUAUCAGAUUCGACUAUGUUGGCAGAAUUUAUUGCUUUGGCUGAUGCAAGUAAAAAAGCUGAAUGGUUAAGAAAUUUGCUAAUAGAUAUCCCAUUGUGGGAGAAACCAUCUCCAGCUGUGAUGAUCUAUUGUGAUAGUAAAGCUACUUUGUAUUCGGUAGCAAACAAGACUUACAAUGGUAAGCAACGACAUCUCAGUAUUAGACAUCAGUCUCUUCGAGGAUACUUAAGCAAGGAGUAAUCACCGUUGAAUAUGUAGAGUCGAAGAAUAACCUAGCAGAUCCUUUGACAAAAGGAUUAGCUAGAGAGAUGAUUGCGAAAACAUCGAAAGGAAUGGGAUUGAGGUCUUCGUAACUUCAGUUAGCUUUAAUGGGAACCCUACUUAUGUUUUGAAAUAUAAACAAAGUUCAAAGGGUACAAAUAAAUUAAAGUCUAACUUAGACGAGACACUAGAGUAUUAGUUCAAACCCAUUCAUAAAAUCUCUAGUGUAUGUAUUCUACAUGGUUGAGGAUGGAUUUAAUUCCUUAAUAAGUUCUAUUGAGAGAGAAAGUAACUCGCAGAAUUACUUUAUAAAGAACUUACCUAUGUGAGUGAGAAAGUCAGGCCGUUUUCUAUGAGAUUUAGACCGUCUCUAAAGCACUCAUGAAAUUCGGGAUAUACGCAAGGCCAUUAAUGCGUUGGUAUAAAAGAGACACUCCUUUUUAUCGGAAUAGUAUGUGUAAUGACUCCGGCUAGUCUUGAUAGGGUCCUUGGUUCAAGAUUCGUUCACCAUAGCACCUUGAUAAAACUUUGAGUUGUUUACACUAAGUGAAAGUUCAAAGUCAAAAUCUACUUUCAUUUAUGUACGAUUUCCUUCGAUGAUGCCUUUUGUGUGUGUUAGCAUGAACUAUGGUGGCUUGAUCCCGUUAAGGGUACGUAGGUAAUCAAUUUUUGUGAUGCAGCCGUUUCAUCUUUUCUAAAUCAAAAUUUUGAAAAAUAGGGGGGAUAUGUUAGAUAUUUUUCAUCAUUUUGCAUGUGUUUAAUUUUUUGUUAUGCGAAUGAUUUGCCGCCCGAAUUAGUGUUUGCCGCUGCGCAACGGGGGUCAGGUCGCGGGGGUUGAGGGGGCAACGCCCCCGAAAGAGAAUUUUAUUUUCAAAAGUUUUUGAAUAGAUGCAUCUGUUCAUUUUUAAAAGUCACUUCCAAUAGAUGUACACAAGGAUUUCAAGGGAUACACCUAUUCAAACAGUUGCCUCAGUUUCUAUAAAUUCUGUGCGAAUUCUCAUUUGCAAAUACAUUAAAAAUAUUAUUCUUCUUUCUUUCUCUUGGCAUCAAUCAAUUCUUUUCGAGUGUCUCUUGGUUUGAUCAAAUAGUCACAAUUUGAAUCAAACGUCUCCAUUGUAUCCUGAGAGAGAUUUUCUAUCAUACCCCAAUUGUGACUUUGUUGGAUAGGGGAGAAACAUCUCUUAAAAGAUAACGUUUUUUCGUGCCUUGGAGUUCAUUAAAUUUUUAGAUUUCCCUACAUUUUUCUCAACAGAGAAGGCAUCAUUGAGACAGUUAGAACCUCCAUCCUCUAGAAACUUUAUACUAGUAAUCCGAGCUAUGUGGGUUUCAGUAUUAGGAUCUUAGCAUUGGCAAUGAUCGAUGACAGUUGUGGUGAUUGGUGAAAGUGGUGGCAAAUGUUUCCUAUUUUGUGUGUUAGUUAUUUCUCUUAUUUGGAUGUCAUGUUUGUUGUUGGUGGUUUUUUGUGGGUAUGAUGCACUAUGGGCGUUGGCAGUGA